rnacentral:rRNA from 1 species
UACGAAGGGGGCUAGCGUUGCUCGGAAUCACUGGGCGUAAAGCGCACGUAGGCGGAUUGUUAAGUCAGGGGUGAAAUCCUGGAGCUCAACUCCAGAACUGCCUUUGAUACUGGCGAUCUCGAGUCCGGGAGAGGUGAGUGGAACUGCGAGUGUAGAGGUGAAAAUUCGUAGAUAUUCGCAAAGAACACCAGUGGCGAAGGCGGCUCACUGGCCCGGAACUGACGCUGAGGUGCGAAAGCGUGGGGAGCAAACAGG